UACAGAGGUGGCAAGCGUUGUUCGGAAUUACUGGGCGUAAAGGGCGCGUAGGCGGCCUUCUAAGUCAGACGUGAAAUCCCCCGGCUUAACCUGGGAACUGCGUCUGAUACUGGAGGGCUAGAGUUUGGGAGAGGGAUGUAGAAUUCCAGGUGUAGCGGUGAAAUGCGUAGAUAUCUGGAGGAAUACCGGUGGCGAAGGCGGCAUCCUGGACCAACACUGACGCUGAGGCGCGAAAGCUAGGGGAGCAAACGGG
rnacentral:rRNA from 1 species